rnacentral:rRNA from 1 species
AGGACGAACGCUGGCGGCGUGCUUAACACAUGCAAGUCGAACGGUGAAGCCUUUCGGGGUGGAUCAGUGGCGAACGGGUGAGUAACACGUGAGCAAUCUGCCCUUGACUCUGGGAUAACUUCGGGAAACCGGAGCUAAUACCGGAUAUGACGCAUGGCCGCAUGGUCUGUGUGUGGAAAGAUUUAUUGGUCAGGGAUGAGCUCGCGGCCUAUCAGUUUGUUGGUGGGGUAAUGGCCUACCAAGGCGACGACGGGUA